rnacentral:misc_RNA from 1 species
GAUGAAGAACGUAGCGAAAUGCGAUAAGUAGUGUGAAUUGCAGAAUUCAGUGAAUCAUCGAAUCUUUGAACGCACAUUGCGCCCCUUGGUAUUCCAUGGGGCAUGCCUGUUCGAGCGUCAUUUGUACCUUCAAGCUCUGCUUGGUGUUGGGUGUUUGUCUCGCCUCUGCGUGUAGACUCGCCUCAAAAUAAUUGGCAGCCGGCGUAUUGAUUUCGGAGCGCAGUACAUCUCGCGCUUUGCACUCAUAACGACGACGUCCAAAAGUACAUUUUUACACUCUUGACCUCGGAUCAGGUAGGGAUACCCGCUGAACUUAAGCAUAUCAAGCGGAGGA